CCUACGGGUGGCUGCAGUGGGGAAUAUUGCACAAUGGGCGCAAGCCUGAUGCAGCCAUGCCGCGUGUGUGAAGAAGGCCUUCGGGUUGUAAAGCACUUUCAGCGGGGAGGAAGGCGGUGAGGUUAAUAACCUCAUCGAUUGACGUUACCCGCAGAAGAAGCACCGGCUAACUCCGUGCCAGCAGCCGCGGUAAUACGGAGGGUGCAAGCGUUAAUCGGAAUUACUGGGCGUAAAGCGCACGCAGGCGGUCUGUCAAGUCGGAUGUGAAAUCCCCGGGCUCAACCUGGGAACUGCAUUCGAAACUGGCAGGCUAGAGUCGUGUAGAGGGGGGUAGAAUUCCAGGUGUAGCGGUGAAAUGCGUAGAGAUCUGGAGGAAUACCGGUGGCGAAGGCGGCCCCCUGGACAAAGACUGACGCUCAGGUGCGAAAGCGUGGGGAGCGAACAGGAUUAGAUACCCCAGUAGUC
rnacentral:rRNA from 1 species